AUUGAACGCUGGCUGCAGGCCUAACACAUGCAAGUCGAACGAGUGGCGGACGGGUGAGUAAUGUCUGGGAAACUGCCCGCUGGAGGGGGAUAACUACUGGAAACGGUAGCUAAUACCGCAUACCAUCGGAUGUGCCCAGAUGGGAUUAGCUAGUAGGUGGGGUAACGGCUCACCUAGUCGACGCUCCCUAGCUGGUCGGAGAGGAUGACCAGCAACACUGGAACUGAGACAAGGUCCAGACUCCUACGGGAGGCAGCAGUGGGGAAUAUUGCACAAUGGGCGCAAGCUUGAUGCAGCCAUGCCGCGUGUAUGAAGAAGGCCUUCGGGUGGUAAAGGACUUUCAGCGAGGAGGCGUUACUCGCAGAAGAAGCAUCGGCUAACUCCGUGCCAGCAGCCGCGGUAAUUC
rnacentral:rRNA from 1 species